CCUACGGGGAGCAGCAGUGGGGAAUAUUGGGCAAUGGGCGCAAGCCUGACCCAGCAACGCCGCGUGAAGGAAGAAGGCUCUCGGGUUGUAAACUUCUUUUAUCAGGGACGAAGCAAGUGACGGUACCUGAUGAAUAAGCCACGGCUAACUACGUGCCAGCAGCCGCGGUAAUACGUAGGUGGCAAGCGUUAUCCGGAUUUACUGGGUGGAAAGGGCGUGUAGGCGGGAAAGCAAGUCAGAUGUGAAAACCAUGGGCUCAACCUGUGGCCUGCAUUUGAAACUGUUUUUCUUGAGUACUGGAGAGGCAGACGGAAUUCCUAGUGUAGAGGUGAAAUGCGUAGAUAUUAGGAGGAACACCAGUGGCGAAGGCGGUCUGCUGGACAGCAACUGACGCUGAGGCGCGAAAGCGUGGGGAGCAAACAGGAUUAGAUACCCGGGUAGUC
rnacentral:rRNA from 1 species